rnacentral:lncRNA from 10 species
CUUGAUUUGAGUUGAGGAAGGCUGAAAGCAGGGACAGCUAUGAAUAUUGAGCCUGGGGGCAGGGUACCCGCCUCCAGAAGGUCCUUGGCUGUGAAUCAAGGACUUGACCUCAGUUUUGGAGAAGCUGAGGUUGUAGGCAGGAAAACAAGUAAGAGGCUCAAGGUCUGACGUGAUCUGGAACCCAGAGGUUGGUUAAUAUAAUAGGACAUUAGCCUAGAACUUGGUAAGAAGCUCAGUGGAGACCCUGGCCCGUGGGCCGAGGCUUUAUCGGGGCCUGGAGCAGCCGUUCUUCACCUUUGCUGCACAUGAAAAACACUGGAGAUCUUUCAACAGUCCUGGUGCCCAAGCUCUCCUAAGACCAAAUCACUAGGGGCUCCCGCACUGCAUCCGUCUCUCACCUGACUCCAUCGUCAGACUGCAGAGGGGAGGCGAGGGCGUUCCUGGCUGGAUUUCAUGGCUUCACCUUCGGUACUGAAGAAAAGGCCAAGUUCUGGGAUUAUGCAUGCCACUGCUUGACUACUGUCUCCUUGGUUUCUUUGACAGACAUUUAUCCAGCACCUGCUGUGUACCAGGCUCUGUUCUAGGUGCUGAGUAUACAAGAAUGGAGAAGUUCACCUAAAAUGUUACCAUCUUCUCUACAAUAUCUUACCUCAACAACACACUCUUGUGCCUGGAUUGUUGCAAUUGCUUCCGAAUCAGUUUUUCUGUCUCCACUCUUAAUGUCAUUCAAGACUUUCUGCACCUGACAGCACAACAGUCCCUCCAAAGUGUCACUCAGCAGCUUAACCCCCCCACACUGCCCUCGGGAGCAGCCCCCCAGUGUCUCACAGGGCUGAGAUGAUGCCCUCCUUGACUUGAACCUUCAUGCUUCUCAGAGAAACGCCUUUCAACUUGGUGCUGUCAGACCCACGUAGACUCUGCUGAAGCACAGCCAGUUCCUCUCAAUUCUCGAAUGAGCCACCUUCCCUCUCACCUCCAAGUGGCGGCUCACGCUGUUGACUGCCUGCACGAUGUUCUCCCUGGCUCUGCAGUUAAUUGCCUGUGUAUCACUCCUGCACCAUGGAGAAGGCAAUCAGAAACAUCCUUCCUCCU